CUCCUCUCAGAGUCGCAUCUGGAGAGUUUCCAGUAGUCUACCAGUCUCAGCUACAGGAAGGAGAGUAAGGCAGAGGCCUAUCCACUCCAUUCCUAGCUUGGGCAGUGGCUAGCGAGCGGAAGACAAUCUGCUACAAGU
rfam:Ornithorhynchus anatinus chromosome 1, whole genome shotgun sequence.